rnacentral:pre_miRNA from 1 species
UAAAGCNUCCCUCCGUCCGAAAAUACUUGUCAUUGAAAUGGAUGUAUCUAGAUGUAUUUUAGUUCUAGACACAUCCAUUUUGAUGACAAGUAAUUCCGGACGGAGGGAGUACUUG